rnacentral:rRNA from 1 species
GACGAACGCUGGCGGCGUGCUUAACACAUGCAAGUCGAACGGAAAGGCCCUGCUUUUGUUGGGUGCUCGAGUGGCGAACGGGUGAGUAACACGUGAGUAACCUGCCCUUUACUUUGGGAUAACUUCAGGAAACUGUGGCUAAUACCGGAUAGGAGCUCCUGCUGCAUGGUGUGGGUUUGAAAGUUUCGGCGGCUGGGCUUGGACUCGCGGCUUAUCAGCUUGUUGGUGUGGUUGUGGCAUACCAAGGCUUUGGCGGGUAGCCGGCCUGAGAGGGUGACGGGCCACAGUGGGACUGAGAUACGGGCCGUACUCAUACGGGAGGCAGCAGUGGAGAAUAUUGCGCAAUGGGCGGAAGCCUGAUGCAGCAACGCCGCGUGGGGGAUGACGGCCGUCGGGUUGGAAACCGCUUUCGCCUGUGACGAAGAGUGAGUGACGGUAACGGAUAAGGAAGCACCGGCUAACUACGUG